rnacentral:lncRNA from 1 species
GUUUUCACACAUGGAUCCUCUCUCGGAUUUCAUGGCUUCCAGCCAUUUGUCGGAAUCUGGGCCCACCAUCGCUUUCUCCAUAACUCGUAGGUUCACUGUUGCUCAACAACAUGACCUCCAAGACAGGGUUACCUUACUACUCUGCAGCAGUACGCGACCUUGUCGACCUACGAGGUUUGUAGUAACUUGAUUCGAAGCUCAAUGAUCAUCAUCAUCAGCUUCCACUUCAAUUGGUGUAGGCGCCACAUGAACAACUUCCUGCGCCCUGCUACACACUGUUUGAAGUGAUGGUUCAAUAACCUCAUCAAGUUCUACUACCCUCCCACUCAAUUCUUUCGAGAGAAACCUUUCCUCGAGAAAGGAUCCGUUUCUA